UUCAACAAAAAAAUUAUUCUAAGCCUUGUUUUUUCAAAUUUAAGUUUAAAAAAAAAAGUAACGAGUAGUCUAAUUCGCCUAAGGCUGUGUCAUGUGUGUUCUCCGGAGUUUCUGUUCAGGAUAAAGGUAAAAGGUAGCCCGGAAUGCCAAUGUGAUUAUGGCGUAGGUACAAUUGAACAUAUAUUUUUCGAAUGUCCGUUGAACCGUCUUUGCUUCUACGAUCUCUUGCUCAAAUUCAAAGUAUCUCUCCCCUGUAAUGUAAAGUCUCUUCUAGCUAGUUCUGAACCUAAUUUAGGUAAUGGGUGUUUGAUAUCGAGGGAAAUAUUCCUUAAGGAUAGAUCUUGAUCGUCGAAGAGUAUUUUAUUCGUGAAAGCUUAACUAGACUAGAGGCAACACUAUUUUGCUCUACUAGCGUGACGAUACUCAGGAGGUUGACGUUUACCGAACGAGUGCGUGCGACAGAAUGCCCCGGGUAACCAUAUCCCUUGUCCUUUUGAGGGAACAUUGCUAUCUCCUGAUAACGGUGUAACGGUACCGAAAGUUUCCCACGCAACUAAAACUUCGCUUAAUUACACACAAUAAAAUGGACAAUACUUCUUUGACUCUGCCGAAAUUCUGCGGAGGUGAACCCUAAUAAACAAAUAUAAUACAAUGACGUUACUGAACUUAAUGAAUAAACAAUAGUCGACCAUAACGGUCUCAGGUUAUACAAUAAGAUAGUGCAACCUUACGGGGUCCGGCUUACGAGAAAUAACUCAGAUUGUAUUGCGUUGCAACAAUAAUGAAUCUACAUACGUAUUCUAUUUUCUACUUAUAAAACUAUUUCCAUUUCUAAUUAUUAAUAACACACACGGACACGUCGCCGGCUACACCAAUGUAUUAAAACUGUUGGCGUAUUUCCUUGAUAAAAGAUAAGUCUUUAAAUAUUUUGUAUGUAUACAGCUUUAUGUGUUUAUUCUUAAUGUCAUAUUGUUUAAUUUUCAUAAUAUAAUUCUCUAAAUUUAAAAUUCUGGGCUAAAUCAUAGGUGCACUCCUAAGUUUGUCCCUAAUAAACUUGACGUUGGCAAAGUGUCCUGGCAGCAAAAGCCAUUCUAACAAAAAAAAAAGCUUCACACAAAACCGCGGCCCUUUUUACUAAUUUUAAUUUUAGUUUUAUGCGUAUAAAAUCUGUACCUUCUGUUUUUAUAACUUACAUAGGUAAAAUGUGAUGUUUUCGGCCGCCGUCAUAUGCACAAAAGUACAAUUAAAGCAUAAUAAAAUCAUUUUAGGCAUAUUCUUCUUUAAGGCCCUGCGGUUGCAGGUUCUUCUCUUCUCUAACUAAGCGUAAGCGUGAGCGAGGCUCAAGUAAGUAACUAAAAUGUCAAAACAACAGGUAUGUAAUAUCAUCUACUUUGUAGAAUCGUCAUUGUUGUAGAUUCGACAACAAUGACGUCAAUGACUAUUCUGACAGUUUUCUUUAUUUACUAGAAUCAAUAUACGAGUCAACUAGGGAAUAAUUGAAUUUAUUUCAUUCACGUUGGUCCGAUCCCUUCCCAGGCCUGGGUACUGGGGCCUUGGCCACUUUUUCCAACUUGUUUUGACAUUUAUAAACAAUAUUAAGAGGGAAGAAUAGCUUUGCGAUACAUGAAAUAACGGUACUUUUUCUAUGAAAUUCUAUUUCGGGAGAAAAUGUUUCCUCUAACUAAAUCUUAACAAAUCACUUUGAUUUUGAUGUCGAUCGCUUUAGCAUGAUAUAUUGUAGGUUUAUAGGUUUAUAUAUUUUUUUGUAAAUUUUGUAAAAAAAAGGAAGACCUAUAACCUAGAUUUUCAUUGUGCCAAUAACAUACUAAAAAAUCAUGUAGAUUGGAAAAUAUUUAAAAGUGGAAAAACAUUUUCUCUUUUUGUAUGGACGAUCAUAUGCUUCCCUCUUAAGCACAUAAUCUAUUCACUACCUAUGUUGUAAAACUAUUAAACAUCUUACAAGUACCUCGAGGUACUUCCCAGUUGGCAAACAGCCCCGAGUAACACAAGCAAAAAUAUGACAUCAUUCCUGUUUGUUGACGGCAGGGACUUUACCGAUGCUCCGCUAGCCGCGCUCCGCUUACAAACUUAAAAAUUCACUUAAUGUUAUCAAUAAGCAAUGCUUUUAAAUGAAAACUUCAACCGUGUAGUUUGAACUCAACGAAUAACUACUGCAAAUAAAAGUUUGCUGCUUGAGGUUACAGUUUUGCUUAUAAGACGAGGCACCACAGCUGUAAUAACAUUCCGUUUAGAAUACAGUCGUGUGAAUUGGGAUUGUCAUUAUAGGAGUUUUGUAAUAAAAAUAAAAUGAAGGGAUAUCUGCUUCUAUUUUUCAUUAUCGCAGCAUUUUUGGCAAUGUCUGUGGCCGCCUGCAACAACUCGGACUGCGCAAGCGACUGCCGCGGCUCUGGGCGUCACGGAGGACAGUGCAUCCAGGGUGCAUGUUACUGUACUGGACAGGAAUUCAAAUUUUAAAUACCGUUCGUCAUAUAUCAUUCGUCAUUUAUCAUGUCAUUUCUAUUAGUUACCAAUUACCACCAUGAAACUUGUCCAUAUUGACAGUUAAGGUUGAAAGGUAUUUUUGCAUAGGCACUGGAAAACGUAGGGUUGGAAAUGUAAGAAAGUGCAAUGAGAUAGACGAGUCAACAAAAACAGUCAAUAAUUUGAUAAGAGCAAGACUGAUUAUUGGCAAAGUCCUCAAGGCCAUUGGCUAAGUCGAUGCACUUAGACUGAUACUAUGCUGACCAUCGCCAUAUAAACCUCUAAGAACUCUUUAGUAUUAGUUAGGAGCGGUAACUAACAGAAAUAACUUGUUACAAAUUGUUGUUUGAGCAGAUGAAACUUUUUAGAGAGCAAUUAUGCACCUAUAUAAUAAUAUAUCAAAAUUUAAAUGGCAAUUUAAAUAAACUAUUUAAAAUAUUCA